GACCUCCCAAUUCUUACUACAGGCUGUGUUCUUUACACUGACUGUAUAGAAAGAGGAGGUACAGUAAAUGCACCUCAUAUACGCCUCAACACAGGCCCUUUGCCUGGUCUGUAUUAUGAAAUGGGGGGAAAAUG